rnacentral:rRNA from 1 species
CCUACGGGAGGCAGCAGUGAGGAAUAUUGGUCAAUGGACGAGAGUCUGAACCAGCCAAGUAGCGUGAAGGAUGACUGCCCUAUGGGUUGUAAACCUCUUUUAUCUGGGAAUAAAAUGUUCCACGCGUGCGCUUUUGUAUGUACCUUAUGAAUAAGGAUCGGCUAACUCCGUGCCAGCAGCCGCGGUAAUACGGAGGAUCCGAGCGUUAUCCGGAUUUAUUGGGUGUAAAGGGAGCGUAGGUGGAUUGUGAAGUCAGUUGUGAAAGUUUGCGGCGCAACCGUAAAAUUGCAGUUGAAACUGGAAGGCUUGAGUACAGGAGAGGGGGGCGGAAUUCGGGGUGUAGCGGUGAAA